UAGUCUAACUGAGAUAUUUCAGUCUAAGAGAGAGAAAGUUGGGCAGCUGUUGACAGCUUUCACAACAAAUCAAGUGAUUCAUUUUACUCCCCAACAGACUAAAGAGCCAACUGAUACUAGGUCUCUGGUGCUCAGAGGACUCCCUAUCGUCAUUGGUGACAAACCUACAGAUUUCUACAAAGUAUGCUUUGACUCUGAUGACGAUUACUGAUGACAUUGGAAUCCUCCUCAUUGAGCAUGAAGGUGACAUGCUCUCAUCUUCUCUCCAUCUCAAUCCGACCUCAU